rnacentral:rRNA from 1 species
CACGUAGGGGGCAAGCGUUGUCCGGAUUUAUUGGGCGUAAAGAGCUCGUAGGCGGCUUAGUAAGUCGGGUGUGAAACCUCCAGGCUCAACCUGGAGACGCCACCCGAUACUGCUGUGGCUAGAGUCCGGUAGGGGAGCGUGGAAUUCCUGGUGUAGCGGUGAAAUGCGCAGAUAUCAGGAGGAACACCAGCGGCGAAGGCGGCGCUCUGGGCCGGUACUGACGCUGAGGAGCGAAAGUGUGGGGAGCGAACAGG